GAUGAAGAACGUAGCGAAAUGCGAUAAGUAAUGUGAAUUGCAGAAUUCAGUGAAUCAUCGAAUCUUUGAACGCACCUUGCGCUCCUUGGUAUUCCUUGGAGCAUGCCUGUUCGAGCGUCAUUUGAAACCUCAAGCUCAGCUUGGUGUUGGGUGUCUGUCCCCGCCUCACCGCGGGGACUCGCCUCAAAAUCAUUGGCGGCCGGUACGUUGGCUUCGAGCGCAGCAGAAACGCGAACUCGAGGCCCGGCGGAUCGGCGACCAGAAGUCACUUCUUCACAGUUUGACCUCGGAUCAGGUAGGGAUACCCGCUGAACUUAAGCAUAUCAAUAAGCGGAGGA
rnacentral:misc_RNA from 1 species